GAGGCUCGUGGAAUUUCUUGAGAAACGUGGCAUUACCCAUCUCUUUCCCAUUCAAAGAGCGGUGUUAACCCCUGUGCUUGAAGGGUGUGAUUUAAUUGCUCGUGCGAAGACUGGAACGGGGAAGACUUUAGCUUUCGGGAUUCCAUACUGAAGCGUCUUACUGAUGGUGAUGAACAUAGAAGUCCGAGAUGUGGGCGACUUCCUAGAGUUUUGGCCUUAGCACCAACAAGAAAAUUAGCAAAACAAGUAGAGAAAGAAAUUAAGGAAUCUACACCUUACUUAAACACCGUGUGUGUUUAUGGUGGAGUUUCUUACAUUACCCAACAAAUUGUCCUU